rnacentral:lncRNA from 1 species
GUGAUGUAUGUACAUCACACUCUGGUUGAACGUUUAUUCAAUGAUGAAAAUGUUCCCUUUCUCCUCUACUUUCGUGCACAGGUUCCGUGGGUUGGCAGACUCCUCAGCACAAGUUACUCAUUGGCAGUGAGAAGAGUUCUGACGUCUGUUUCCCAUAUUCUCUCUAUCGAGAAGAAGCUUCACGGAAACCAAAUUGUCUCUAGAAGAUCCCUUGGUGAGUGUUCUCCAAAAUAUCACAUUACUCAAGGCCACCUAAUGUCUGAACGUGGAACAGUGGACACCCGCUGCCUCAGACUCUGUGAGCCAAAGGGGACCUCAGAGCACAUCCUGGUUGACCAGCUUCUCCCAUCCCCCACACCUGUUUGGAAGUUGGAGAAAUAAGAUAGAGAGGGUUUGGGACUGAAUUGUGUGUCCCCUGCUCCCUUCCCUUCCCCCCAAAAAACAUUUAUGGAAGCCCACGCUGAAGCCCCCGCACUUGUGAAUGCAAACUUACUUGGAAAGAGGGUCUUUGCAGAUGUAAGCAAGCUUCAGAUGAGGUCAUUACGGUGGCCCUAAGCCAACACAACUGCUGUCCUUGCUGGAGGAAGAGAGAUUCUGGGAUGGACAUACGAGAGGGGAACACUCUGUGACGGCUGGAGGGAGAGAUUGAAAUGCUGCAGCUGCAGGCUGAGGAGCGCCAAGGGCUGCUGGCAACAACGCAGAACCAAGCAGGAGGUGAGGAAGAAUGCUCCCCUACAGGGACAGAGGGGGCCUGACCCUGCCCGAGACCUUGAUGUUGGAUUUCAGCCUCCAGAACUGUGAGACAAUAUGUUUCCGUUGUUUUAAACCACGUGAUUUGCUACGGCCAUCCUAGGAAGUGGAUACAGAGACAGAGGCAAACUGGUUACGGCCAUCCUAGGAAGUGGAUACAGAGACAGAGGCAAACUGCCUAUGAUCACAGGGUGGGUGAGGGAUGAGGACACCUCUGAACACAGCCCCUGUGAUGCCCCCUCCAGAGUCGGGCCCGUUGUCCUGGGCUUCAGUCCUCCAAGGCAUCACACCGAGGUUGUGGGCAUGUGUGUUUUCUUCCAUCUUGUUUUUGUUCCAAAUUUCUAUAAUAAUUUCCCUCAAGUAGACUUUCCCUGUCUCCCCCUUUUUGGUCUCAAUAACUUUGAAACAGGUAAGUUAAAAGAAUAAAACAACACAUACUCAUAUUCUCUUCA